rnacentral:rRNA from 1 species
CCUACGGGAGGCAGCAGUGAGGAAUAUUGGUCAAUGGACGAGAGUCUGAACCAGCCAAGUAGCGUGAAGGAUGACUGCCCUAUGGGUUGUAAACUUCUUUUAUAUGGGAAUAAAACGUUCCACGUGUGGGAUUUUGUAUGUACCAUAUGAAUAAGGAUCGGCUAACUCCGUGCCAGCAGCCGCGGUAAUACGGAGGAACCGAGCGUUAUCCGGAUUUAUUGGGUUUAAAGGGAGCGUAGGUGGAUUGUUAAGUCAGUUGUGAAAGUUUGCGGCUCAACCGUAAAAUUGCAGUUGAAACUGGCAGUCUUGAGUACAGUAGAGGUGGGCGGAAUUCGUGGUGUAGCGGUGAAAUGCUUAGAUAUCACGAAGAACUCCGAUUGCGAAGGCAGUUCACUGGACUGCAACUGACACUGAGGCUCGAAAGUGUGGGUAUCAAACAGGAUUAGAUACCCGAGUAGUC